rnacentral:rRNA from 1 species
GAUGAACGCUGGCGGCGUGCCUAAUACAUGCAAGUCGAGCGAACGGACGAGAAGCUUGCUUCUCUGAUGUUAGCGGCGGACGGGUGAGUAACACGUGGAUAACCUACCUAUAAGACUGGGAUAACUUCGGGAAACCGGAGCUAAUACCGGAUAAUAUUUUGAACCGCAUGGUUCAAAAGUGAAAGACGGUCUUGCUGUCACUUAUAGAUGGAUCCGCGCUGCAUUAGCUAGUUGGUAAGGUAACGGCUUACCAAGGCAACGAUGCAUAGCCGACCUGAGAGGGUGAUAGGCCACACUGGAAGUGAGACACGGUCCAGACUCCUACGGGAGGCAGCAGUAGGGAAUCUUCCGCAAUGGGCGAAAGCCUGACGGAGCAACGCCGCGUGAGUGAUGAAGGUCUUCGGAUCGUAAAACUCUGUUAUUAGGGAAGAACAUAUGUGUAAGUAACUGUGCACAUCUUGACGGUAACUAAUCAGAAAGCCACGGCUAACUACGUG